AUUUGUACCGAUUCAAUGAUAGCUUUAUAAACGAAACUACUUUGAGUCGGUACGAAUCA
rnacentral:pre_miRNA from 1 species